GGAGAGCUGGCCGAGUGGCUGAAGGCGCACCCCUGCUAAGGGUGUAUGGGUUAACGCCCAUCGAGGGUCGAAUCCCUCGCUCUCCGCCA
rnacentral:tRNA from 1 species